rnacentral:rRNA from 1 species
UACGUAGGGGGCAAGCGUUGUCCGGAAUCAUUGGGCGUAAAGAGCGCGUAGGCGGCCCGAUAAGUCCGCUGUAAAAGUCCAGGGCUCAACCCUGGAAAGCCGGCGAUACUGUCGGACUAGAGUCCGGAAGAGGCAAGUGGAAUUCCCGUGGUAGCGGUGAAAUGCGCAGAUAUCGGAGGAACGACCAAUCGAGGCAGCUGGCUGGACGUACGUGACGCUGAGACGGCGAAA